ACUUUGAGGCGGGAUACACUGGACAUUAGAGAAGAGGAUUAUUACACAUCAUUGUACAAUGAGAGCCAAUCUAACCUUGUGCGGUGUGCAUAUUGAUUGGUAUUUCACUUUCUUCUCUGGGCUUGUGGGACUUUGAGUAUCGCAUUGUAUGUCAACAAGUGAAUGUCACUUCUUUGGAGGAGGUGAUGAAGCACUUCAUGCAAACCUUAUAGGAGAAAGCAGAGUGGGCGCAAGAUUGGAAGUAUCUUUUCAUACAAAUCGGGGAUAAGCUUUGCUUCAGCAUCUUCAGUGCCAGAAGUGCAGUUGGCCCAAUAUGUUCCUCGCCCUGGAAAGAAUUGCCACCCUGAGGUUGCUUAAGCAAGUGCUUUAAAGUGCUCAAGAUUAUUUAUUCUCUAAUUAUGUGUACUAUAAAUAAAAAUAUAUAUGUCAUUCUUGUGGAAAAUGCAGAUGAAUGUAUUUCAUUUUCAUAUUAUUAUAAUAUUUUGAUGUUAUUAAGUGCUUAA